GAACGAUGGAUUCUGAUUCAGACUCACCUUUUAACUACUCGUGGCCUGCCUUCCCCAAAAUGAAGAUCCGACGGAGGGCGUCCAGACAAGAUGUAAAAAUGGUUAUUGUUGGGAAUUAGAAGUUACAGAGAGUGAAGAGUUGAAAGUAAAAACCACCUGUGAUCCAUCAUCUGGAGAUAGCAGUUAACAUCUUGGUUUAACUUUCCAGUCCUUUCUCUUGAUUUUUUGUAUAUUGUGUGGUUAAAUAAAAUGAAAUCACACACUUA